UACGUAGGGAGCGAGCGUUGUCCGGAUUCAUUGGGCGUAAAGAGCUCGUAGGCGGCUUGGUAAGUCGGAUGUGAAACCUCCAGGCUCAACCUGGAGUCGCCAUCCGAUACUGCUAUGGCUAGAGUCCGGUAGGGGCCCACGGAAUUCCUGGUGUAGCGGUGAAAUGCGUAGAUAUCAGGAGGAACACCUGCGGUGUAGACGGCUUUCUGGACCAUUGCUGACGCUGAGACACGAAAGCGUGGGUAGCAAACAGG
rnacentral:rRNA from 1 species